ACUUUAAUUGAAGAGUUUGAUCAUGGCUCAGAUUGAACGCUGGCGGCAGGCCUAACACAUGCAAGUCGAGCGGU
rnacentral:rRNA from 2 species